UCAAACCAUUUAACCUUCUAACCCAUCAAAUUAAAUGAGUUGAUGGGUUGACUCAACUCAUUUACUAAAUGAGUUGAGUCAACCCAUCGACUCAUUUAACUCUAAACUCAUUGGGUAAUGAGU
rnacentral:pre_miRNA from 1 species